GAUGCCAGGGGAAUCCACCGUCUGCCACCGCGAGCGUGAGAAGCCAAUCACCUAUCACUGAUUACGAUGAGGACCUGGUGCAGGAAGCUUCAUCUGAAGAUGUCCUGGGCGUUCAUAUGGUGGACAAAGACACAGAGAGAGACAUUGAGAUGAAACGGCAACUACGGCGACUACGGGAGCUCCACCUAUACAGCACAUGGAAGAAGUACCAAGAGGCGAUGAAGACAUCCUUGGGAGUUCCACAAUGUGAGCGUGACGAAGGCUCCUUGGGCAAGCCAUUGUGUCCACCCGAGAUACUCUCGGAGACGUUGCCAGGCUCUGUGAAGAAAAGGGUAUGCUUUCCAUCAGAAGAUCAUCUAGAGGAGUUUAUAGCAGAACAUCUCCCUGAAGCAUCCAAUCAGAGUCUCCUCACUGUUGCCCAUGCAGACACAGGCAUCCAAACCAACGGUGACCUGGAAGACCUGGAGGAGCAUGGGCCAGGGCAGACAGUCUCUGAGGAAGCCACAGAAGUUCACAUGAUGGAGGGGGACCCAGACACACUGGCCGAACUUCUGAUCAGGGAUGUACUUCAGGAGCUGUCCAGUUACAACGGCGAGGAGGAGGACCCAGAGGAGACAUCCUUGGGAGUUCCACAACGUGGUGACCUGGAAGACCUGGAGGAGCAUGUGCCAGGGCAGACAGUCUCUGAGGAAGCCACAGGGGUUCACAUGAUGCAGGUGGACCCAGCCACACUGGCAAAGCAAUUGGAAGACUCCACCAUUACAGGCAGCCACCAGCAGAUGUCAGCAAGUCCUUCCUCUGCACCUGCAGAAGAAGCAACAGAAAAGACCAAAGUGGAAGAGGAAGUGAAAACCAGAAAGCCCAAGAAGAAAACCAGGAAGCCCAGCAAGAAAAGCCGGUGGAAUGUCCUGAAAUGUUGGGACAUUUUUAAUAUAUUUUAGAGACCUCUGAAGAUUCCUCGACCACCAGGAAGGGCCCCGACGUGGGGAUGUCAACAUGGCUCAGACUUGAUGUGGAUCGUGAUCAUUUCGGGAAAUGUGUUACUCCAAAAACUUUUAUAAUCUUUGCUUAAUUUGUUUUUAAAUACUUUCCUGGCUGGGCGUGGUGGCUUAUGCCUGUAAUCCCAGCACUUUGGGAGGCCGAGGCGGGUGGAUCACCUGAGGUCAGGAGUUAAAGACCAGCCUGGCCAACAAGGUGAAACCCCGUCUCUACUAAAAAUACAAAAAUUAGCUAGGCGUGGUGGCGCACUCUUGUAGUCCCAGCUAUUUGGGAGGCUGAGGCAGGAGAAUCACUUGACCUCAGGAGGCGGAGGUUGCAGUGAGCCGAGAUCAUGCCACUGCACCCCAGCACCUGGCUACAGAGUGAGACUUUGUCUCAAAAAAAAAAAAAAAAGAACAAAAAAAUUCUGACUUUAACCUCUGUUUUUCAGAGGGCACAAAUUGUUCUUGUAUUGUUUCCAUUUUACAUUUUUUUCUUGAAGUUAUUUUCCAAUUGUUUUCAUUCUUUCUGAAGUUUUGUUUACUCGGUUUUAAGUUUUUGUAAUUUUGAUAGACUUUUGUGCUUUCAUUUUCUUAAUGACUUUUACCUCAUUUUUAAAACAAAUCCAUAGUAUGGAUGAUAUUGAUGAUGAAAUGUCUUACGAUGAUCAUUUAGAGGUUUAUUUUGAACAACUGGCAAUUCCAGGAAUGAUGGAAUAAAGCAUACGAAGUAGAAGGACUGGAACCUCCAGAAAAAGUACUUUAAGUUACCUACAGGUGAUCCUAGUCAGGCAAAUGAAAACAGUAGCCUAAAGUGUCAGUUUCAACCAGAAAAUAACAGCUCUGAUUUCUCAUGGCUCAUACUCGUCUGAAACGACUCAGGUAGAGGCUGAGGAAGGCCGUGUUGUUUGUCUACCUGGGACUACACCUACUGAAAGAAGUUCUCAAGUUCUGAUUGAGUUCUAAAAUUUUUUGAAGAUUGGAAUUCUUCAUAUGUAAAAAGAGAAGAGAAAGACAUUCUUGAUUUUGGUGACUAGAGUUGUAGAUGCUGGAAGCUUUGCCACUAACAUUGAUGAACCAGAUGCAUGUCACCAGCCCAUCACGGUGAUUCUUAAUGCCGGCACCAUGGGCCCGGCACUGCCACGUUUUCCAAGGAACCUGCCGGAGCUCCUGCGGAAGCUGCUCCUCAGGCGAUGGAGUCCCUUCGCUGGUAGGCCCUUCUUCAGUCACCACAGGAUGCCUGCCAUUCAUGAACAAGAAGGAGAGGACGGGCUUUGAAUAAAAAACAGGAUCCAGGAAAUAUUUGUGAGGCCAUUUGGACUUCAGUGUGAAAUGGUGUUAAAAGAUGAAGUCAUUUAUUCAAGAAGUAAACCUCUGCCACCUGGACUGUGCGCAGACAUUUCAUUGAUUUUGUUUAAUAAACAUUUUCUGGCUUUGGGAGGUGUCUCUCUUGGUAGAACACAGUGUCAAAGAUGGACAAGAUGGACACAUAGUCCAUUAUUUGGUAUUGUUUGUGUAUGGGAGCAGACCACAAAUUAAUGUUUGGAGAACAAUUUUGUCAUAACACACUGUUGAGGCUCAGUUGUACAGAACUGGAAAAGUCUUCAGCUUGGCACAUGUCCUGAUUCAGCCUUUGUUUAACAUAUAUUCCAAUCCGGAUUCUAUCUUCACUGGCUACAAAGACCACCUGAUACGUGCACCACGACACAGGAGCUGCUGGAGAGGGGGUAGUGUUAUCACCUCAAACCCACAGCCAUAUUUUUCAAAAGCCAGCUUAGAGAGAGGUGUACUGAUAGCUGCAUAGAGAACAUGCAGUCCAUCCAUUCUUCCCAGUGAUGUACAUUUCUCAAUCAGUAACCACGUGGUAUACCAGCCUUGAGUGUCACAUCUCCCAACCAUACCAAAUGGAUCACCUAACUGGAGGUGGGGGGGGCCCUCAGAAAUGAGAUUUCGUAUUUACUGUAAAAUUGCCUUAUUUUUUCUUUUGAGGUGGAGUCUCACUCUGUUGCCUGGGCUGGAGUGCAAUGGUGUGAUCACUGCUCACUGCAACCUCCGCCUCCUGGGUUCAAGCAGUUCUCCUGCCUCAGCCUCCCAAGUAGCUGCAAUUACAGGUGCAUGCCACCACUCCCAGCAAAUUUUUAUAUUUUUAGUGGAGACAGGGUUUCACCAUGUUGACCAGGCUGGUCUCAAACUCCUGACCUCAGGUGAUCUGCCCACCUUGGCCUCCCAAAGUUCUGGGAUUAAAGGUACGAGCCACCGCAACUGGCUGAGAAUCUUUUUAUUUGCUGAUUUGUCUCUUGUGUAUUUUCUUUGUUCAGAUGUCUCUUCAGAUCUUUUUCUCACUUUUAAAUUGUUUUUUAAUUGUUAAGAAUUUUCUGUCUAGUUUAGAUAUAAGCCCUUUAUCAGACAUGUGUUUUGCAAAUAUUUUCUCCUAGUCUGUGGCUUGUAUUCUGUCUCUUAACACUCAUUUUAUUUUUACUUUUGGAACUAAAGAAGAAGAAUGGUCAGCUUUCCAUUAUUCUUGUAACAGUAAUGGCAGAACCAAGUCUGCUAAUGCUACACUGAGCAAAGAAAGUCACCUGGUGAAGUCCAACAUUAAUGAAAUGGGGUAGUACAUGCAGGCAGCGUUGGGGGUGGGGAGGGAACAAAUGCUUCUUGAGAGUAAUAUAAUCUGCCAUACCAUCCAGGAACCUACAAUGGCUAUCUAUUACCUUAUUCUCUGGUUUGUUUAAUGUUCGAAUCUUUCCGAAAGAUCCUUCAACCUUUCUGGAAGAAUCUAAUCUGAUAACACCAUCAAAAACACAUUACUUCUUUUGGCAUAAUUUAAAUUGUAAGACAUCAUUCACAUUUAUCAAUGUUACAUAUAUAAGAACUCACCCACCAUAUUCUUCCUUGAGGAAUUACAGCAUGUAAUUCUAUAAUCAUUUUUAUAAUCGUCUAACAAUUUUAUAAUGGAUUGGUUGCUUACUAUCAAUUUUUUAAAAGUCAUGGCUUCUCCAGUCAUUUCUUGCUUAUCGAAAUUAUUUCAUGAGAUGGGUCUCUCCUUGUAUAUUUGAAAAUGAGGUUUGCUUCCUUCUACUUAAAAAACAACUUGAACAUACCUGUUUGGAUCACAUGGUCUUGUCCUGAUAACUUGGAAGAGGUUGCUUCAGCAUUGUUCUUAUUGUUGUGGUGGUUAUUAUUAAUAUUGUUUCAUAUUCUGUUUAAAAAAUUAAAAUUUUACACAAGACCAAUGUCUUCUUUUCAAUUCCAGUACAUUUUUCAGAAGUAACUAAUGCUAUUGGCUUUGUGCAUUGUAAUUUCAGACCAUUUUAUAUGUCUUUAGUUAUAUGUACAGUAUACACACAUAUGUGUCAUAUUAUUCCAUUUUUUCUAGCAUUAAACAUUGCUAUGGAAAACUCUCGGAAAAAUAUUUAUUUGAACAGAACUUUUUCUUUUCUCAGAUGUACCCUCCUUAGGAAUCUUUCUUUGAUCCUUGAAGUUUGGUAACAACUUUAAAUAUGUGUAUCCCAGCUGGGAGCAGCGGCUCACACCUGUAAUUUCAGCACUUUGGGAGGCCGAGGAGGGUGGAUCACCUGAGGUCAGGAGUUUGCCUGGCCAACAUGGUGAAACCCCGUCUUUACUGAAAAUACAAAAAGUUAGCCAGGUGUGGUGGCUGGCACCUGUAAUCCCAGCUACAUGGGAGGCUGAGGCAGGAGAAUCGCUUGAACCUAUAGAGACAAGGUUUCACCAUGUUGACCAGGCUGGUCUCGAACUCCUGACCUCAGGUGAUCCACCCACCUCAGCCUCCCAAAAUGCUGGGAUUACAGGCAUGAGCCAUUGCACCCAGCCAUACAGGAGCAAGUUUAAAAAUUAAAUAUUUAUUUGAAUAACAAGCUUACAUUGGAGCUGCAAUGUUGGCAAUCCAGAUUUUGAACACGGAUCACAAAAAGCAUGCAUAAAAUCCUACUGGCCCAGAGAACAAAACACUGCUCAGAAUUAAGCGAAAUAGCUGCUACUGUUAAGAAAACAGGCCUGAAAUCAAUAUACAAGAUUUUAAAAAAUGUAUUGGCCGGAUGCAGUGGCUCAUUCCUGUAAUUCCAGAACUUUGGGAGGCCAAGACAGGAGAAUCACCUGAGGUCAGGAGUUCAAGACCAGCCUGGCCAACAUGGUGAAACUCCAUCUCUACUAAAAAUAAAAAAUUAGCUGGGUGUGGUGACACAUGCCUGUAGUCCCAGCUACCUGGGAGGCUGAGGCAGAAUAAUUUCUCGAACCCAGGAGGAGGAGGUUUGCAAUGGCAUGAUCUCUGCUCACCGCAACCUCCGCCUCCCGGGUUCAAGCAAUUCUCCUACUUCAGCCUCCCGAGUAGCUGGGAUUACAGGCAUGUGCCACCAUGCCUGGCUACUUUUCUGUAUUUUUAGUAGAGACAGAGUUUCUCCAUGUUGGUCAGGCUGGUCUUGAACUCACAACCUCCGGUGAUCUGCCUGCCUCGGCCUCCCAUAGUGCUGGGAUUACAGGCAUGAGCCACCAUGCCUGCCCAUGAAAGCACUUUUAAAAAGAGAGCACCUCUGCUGCCUGGUCAUAUUCUGUACCUGUUCCCAAACCCUGAAACCAGUGAUGUCAAUGGCUGCGUGGGCAUUGAACGUGUACAUGAUUCCUGCAGCUUUCCUGUUGACCUGGACCAUGUUCAUCAAUGCUUUUUGGUACAUUAAUUCUACAUCUUCUUCGGUGACCACAGUUUAUGUUUAUUUCAUUUUUCAGGAAUAUCCAGCCACUGGUGCACAGCCAUUGCCACUUGUGCCCCCAGGGGAUCUUGUCAACUCCAGUAUGUCCCCCCAGCACUGUGUUAUCUGGCAUAAUAAAUGUAGUUGGGCUGUAGUUGUAGUGACUCCUCCCAAAACAACCCAGGAGUUUAAUACUGUUUGGCCACCGGUUACAGACAUUGCUGCCCCUUCCGCUGCGGCUUUAAAAGCCUAUCUAAUCGGCUGGGUGUGAUGGUGGCUCAGACCUAUAAUCCCAGCACUUUGGGAGUCCAAGGUGGGUGGAUCACCUGAGGUCAGGAGUUUGAGACCGGCCUGGCCAACAUGGUGAAACCCCAUCUCUACUAAAAAUACAGCAAAUUAGCUGGGCGUGGUGGCGCAUGACUGUAAUCCCAGCUACUCGGGAGGCUGAGGUAGGAGAAUUGCUUGGGUGGCAGAGUAAGACUCCGUCCCAAAAAAAAAAGUUAUCUAAUCAGGGACGUCACCUUUCCCUGCCAGUCAUUUUGUUACCAAUGAAAGAAAACAUAUUCAAAUCAAUUUUUAGUUCAGAAAAUGUUUCUUUCAUUGUAUCUUUGAAUUUUAUUGUUCUGCAUUUUUUACUUCAAAAACACCUACUAUAUGCAUUUUUUCUCUCGUUUCCUUUUUUUUCCAAGAAAUGUUUUUGUCCUUUUGAUUUUUUCACUGACCAUUACCAUUAUUUAUAUACCAUGUACCUGGAGAGUUUCCAAUGUUUCUCUUUGGUCUGAGAUACUUGCUAUGAUUUUCACUUUUUAAAUGCUCUUUUGAGAUUUGUUUUGUGGCCUAAAAUGUGGUCUAUCCUGGAGAAUGUUCUGUGAGCUGAUGAGAAGAAUGCACGUUCUGCAGUUGGUGGGUGAAAUGUUCUGUAAUUACCUGUGAGGUCCCUUUGACUUCUCUUGGAGUCAGUCUGGUCUGUUACUUUUCUGCCUAGAGGGUGUGUCUGUUGCUGAAAGUGGGUGUUGGAGUCCCCAGCUAUUAUUGUCUGUCUCUGUCUGUUGCUCGAAUAACUCUUACUUUAAUAACUGGGGCUCCUGUGUCAGGUGUGUUUACAUUGACAACUGUCCUACCUUCUUGCUGAAUUGAUCUCUUUAUCGUUUUAUAAUGACCUUUAUUUUCUAUUUUUGUGCUUUUUUGACUUAAAGCCUACUUUGUGUGACAAGCAUAGCUAUACAUACUCACUUUUGGUAACACUUUUCAUUUCUUAUCAUCUUCAUUGAAUCUCACUUCUUCACAUUUACCAAAAUGUCUACUUUUGAGCUGUGGCACCUCUUUGAAUCUUCAGAUCCACCACAUGCUGAUCAAGCCUUCCUUUUUGUCUGUACUCUGAGGAAUCCCAAACAGGCAUUUUUGCAAGAAAGUCUAGGAGGGAAACAUAAAUCUAUGUGUCAAAAAAAUGAACAUAGAAAAUAAUGUGUCCUGGUUAACAAAAGUUCUCAUUGUAAAGUGUUAGGCACAAGACUAUGGAAUUUCAUGUGCCAUAAAUAAAAUUGUCUUGAUUUGUCUAAAACUACAUUUUGUCUAAAACUACUUUUAAAAAUUACAUGUUACUCUAAUA
rnacentral:lncRNA from 1 species